CUAGGGGAGGCAGCAGUGGGGAAUAUUGCACAAUGGGCGCAAGCCCGAUGCAGCCAUGCCGCGUGUAUGAAGAAGGCCUUCGGGUUGUAAAGUACUUUCAGCGGGGAGGAAGGUGUUGUGGUUAAUAACCGCAGCAAUUGACGUUACCCGCAGAAGAAGCACCGGCUAACUCCGUGCCAGCAGCCGCGGUAA
rnacentral:rRNA from 1 species